rfam:Capsicum annuum cultivar Zunla-1 chromosome 10, whole genome shotgun sequence
GGUCGUAUUGUCUACUGGUUAGGACAUUGGACUCUAAAUCGAGUAACCCGAGUUCAAAUCUCAGUAGGAUUA